GUCCAUUUGUGUACGUCCAAUAAAAUUAGAACGACAUACAUAAAAUUAGCAUGAUUUCCGCGCAAGGAUGAUACACAUAAAUUCAGAAAAUAAGUAUUACUAA